CUGUUGUUUCAGUGUUUUUACUUCAGAUCCCUUGCACUCCGACACAAAAACCAUCUCCUGCUCCUCCACCUCUUCUUCUUCAGUCGCUGCUGCUUCUUAUUUAAACAAGCCACUUCUCAACCACAGUACUACCACAACACUCGCAAAUCGCUUGCAUCGUCACCAGAUAAGAGAGAGUCAAAGAAUAAAAGGGGAGAUGGCAACAAGCACAAGUACAAGAAUAGCGACUCAAGAGAAUACAGAAACGGAACGCAUUUCAACAAACUCCAUCAUUGAUCUCCAUCCCUGCAACUAUUUUAGGCUUGCCAAACUUGCACUUCUGAAGUGUUUAGGGUUAGAUCCAUCCUCUGAUAAUUGUCCAAGCUCCGACAGGUAAAAAGACAGAUAGGUUUGCUGUACAGGGAAGUGGGAAUUUGUUGCCUAAUUCUACAGAAGCAAAGAUUGAGUUAUCAGCCAUUAUAAUUCAGGGACAAAGGGAUCGAUGGUAUAGAAAGCAAGUCAGAGAUUGUGGUUCAAUCCAAGGUGAAUAUACUCGAGAUUAGACGUUCACUAAAGCUAAUCAUUGUUAAUCCUUGGGGUCCUCAUUUUUAAGUUAAAAAGCCAAUUCAUUUACUGAAGAAAGAUCAAAUUGAUUGGAGCAGUGCUCUUUCCAACAAUUUCAUGUG
rnacentral:misc_RNA from 1 species